UAUUACCUUACCCAUGCUGGGAGGAUGCUGGUGAGAGAGCUGGCAGUGUUAAACCCACAGAUUUUCAUGAAUGAGCAACACAUUUUCAUCUCUCAUGCUGGCACGAUGGUAUGGGAUGAACAGUUUUCUCAGCCUGAAGAGUAUGUGGAUGAGGAGGUUCGGCAGCAGCCCUGUCUGGC